AUUUGGAGGUGUUUGUCAUGAUAUAUUUGCAUUUAUGCACAAAUAACUCAAUUAUCAUUUGUUUCUCCAGGCAAACAUAUUCCUGGAAAGAGCAAGAAGAAAUUACAACAAUGAGAAGGCAUGUGGUUGAAUGUCCCACCUCUAGAGUGACCACUUCCUGUUCCGCUUCAUCUCGGACAGCAGCAUGGAGGUAUUUAGUCAUCCGAGACGAGGGCUGUCUGUUUUCCUGCGGUUGCUUCACCCGAUUCCCCUCCACUGCACACCAGAUGUAACCAAAGCAGAGGACAAAACAAGUGCAUUAUUUUUUCAGAGGCAUGUCUAGUAUGAGACAGUGAUGCGCGCUGACAGGGCCUGCUAAUUGGAGUAAAUUAAUUUACCUCGGGCGCCAUGUUCUCACAAAGUGCCGCGCUCCAUGUGAAUAAGUGAUGAUCGGCAGGGCUCGUAUAAGCCCCGAGUUUUUAAAUCAUUUAGCAGCGCAUUCUGCUAAUUAGCACAGAGAAAGUCGGCUUUCAGCUACAAUUAAGACGGGCCUCUGUCAGUCAGGGGACUGCAGCCGGGAAGAAGCACUGAUUUAUUCAUCCUGCAAGCAGAUGCUGAGUGCAUUGGGGGUUUGGAUGGAGGGACUUGGAGAUGAAGCAAGCAAGGGGAUCUGAGAGAUGAAGGCAGUGAGGGAGAGGACUGCAGUAUGUGUGUGGGUUGCUAUUAGUGUGCUGGUGCAGAAAUUUUGUUUUAAUUUUUUUCUUCUCUGCAAGAAAAGGCACAAACAAAGCAAUGAGACGAGCUGGUGGAGUACAGUAAGUGAGGUUGUGUGUGUAACUUGUGAUUGGUCACCUAUGGGCUUUACUUCCCAUGCUUAGUUGACAAGACUCUUUCCAGGACUGUUGCAAGGUCAUUCCUGUUACGUUUGAGGUUGCGGUUAUAAUUUAAAGGGACAGUUCACCCAAAAAUGAAAAUUCUGUCAUUUACUUACCCUCAUGUCAUUCCAAACCUCUAAGACAUUCGUUCAACUUCUGAACACAAAUGAAGACACUUUUAAUGAAAUAUGAGAGAUUUCUGUCCCUCCACUGACAGACUAUCACUUUUUGAUGCUUCAGAAAUUUCUUAAAAAGAUUGUAAAACUAAUCCAUAUGAAUUUAGUGGUUUAGUCCAAAUUUUCUGAUUACUUUAUAUGAUGAACAGAUUUAAUUUAGGCUUUUAUUCACAUAUAAACAUUAAUCAGUGCACACAGUUGUGGCAAAUAGAAGCUCAAGCAUACUUGCUUGAAGUGUGAGAACCAAUGAGGUUCAUUCUUGUGUGUUAGGAAGCACAUUUGGGCUUCCCUAAGAAUCAUUAAGCAAGUUUGGUUGAGCUUCUGUUUGUGUUUGCUGAUCAAUGUAAAUAAAAGCUUAAAUUAAAUCUUAUGAAUCA
ensembl:lncRNA